CCUGCCCCUAAAGGCAUUGUAGGUGUGUGACUACUGUGUCACAUGUACGCCAGUGGGUGGCAGAGAAGACAAAGGCUGUGUCUAUACUCAGUUUUCUGGCCUGUGAGCAUCUGAAUGAUUAGUAGCCUAACACU